rnacentral:rRNA from 1 species
ACGGCUCAGUAACACGUAGCUAACCUUACUUAAGAUUGGAGAUACCCUCGGGAAACUGAGAAUAAUAACCAAUAGAAGAUGAUCACUGGAAGGUGUUAUCUUUGAAGCGCAAGGUCUUAAGAUGGGGCUGCGGCUGAUUAGGUAGUUGGCGGGGUAAGAGCCCACCAAGCCAAUGAUCAGUAAGGGCUUUUAGCGAAGGGGCCCUGAGAGGGAAUCUUAGACACUAUUCCCAGCCCUACGGGGUGCAGCAGUUAAGAAUCUUCUGCAAUGCGCGCAAGCGUGACAGAGCGAGCCAGAGUGUUUCUCAUUGAGAAACUUUUGCCAAAUGUAAAAAGUUUGGAGAAUAAGGACCGGGCAAGACUGGUGCCAGCCGCCGCGGUAAUCCCAGCGGUUCAAGUCGCAGCCACAAUUAUUGGGUCUAAAAUAUCUGUAGCUUGCUUUGUAAGUCUCUUGUGAAAUUCCACAUCUUAAGUGUGGAGCGUGCAGGAGAUACUGUAAAGCUAGAGACCGGGAGACGUAAGAAGUACAGUCAAGGUAGUAGUAAAAUAUGUUGAUCUUGAUUGGACUAACAACAGCGAAGGCAUCUUACGAGCACGGAUCUGACAGUGAGAGAUGAAGGCUAGGGUCGCGAAAAGGAUUAGAUACCCUUGUAGUCCUAGCAGUAAACACUGCACACUAAACAUCAG